rnacentral:snRNA from 1 species
GGAUGUGAGGGCGAUCUGGCUGUGACAUCUGUCACCCCAUUGAUUGCCAGGGUUGAUUUGGCUGAUCUGGCUGGCUAGGCGGGUGUCCCCUUCCUCCCUCACUGCUCCAUGUGCGUCCCUCCCGAAGCUGCACGCUCGGUCAAAGAGGAUGACCAUCCCCGAUAGAGGAGGACUGUUCUUCGGUCAAGGUAUACAAGUAGCUGCGCUCCCUGCUAGAACCUCCAAACAAGCUCUCAAGAGAACUAGAAGGAAGGACAGGAGACCAUCUGCUGUAGUAUGUAACCUCUGGGUUAAUACGUAUUCUAGAGGAAAACCC